rnacentral:rRNA from 1 species
UUCCGGUUGAUCCUGCCGGACCCGACUGCUAUCAGAAUAGGACUAAGCCAUGCGAGUCAACGUAGCAAUACGUGGCAUACGGCUCAGUAACACGUAGUCAACAUGCCCAGGGGACGUGGAUAACCUCGGGAAACUGAGGAUAAACCGCGAUAGGUCAUAAUAUCUGGAAUGAUGUAUGGCUUAAAUCUAUAUGGCCCCUGGAUUGGACUGCGGCCGAUCAGGCUGUUGGUGAGGUAAUGGCCCACCAAACCUAAAACCGGUACGGGCUCUGAGAGGAGAAGCCCGGAGAUGGGCACUGAGACAAGGGCCCAGGCCCUAUGGGGCGCAGCAGGCGCGAAAACUCUGCAAUAAGCGAAAGCUUGACAGGGUUAUUCUGAGUGAUUUCCGCUAAGGAAAUCUUUUGGCACCUCUAAAAAUGGUGCAGAAUAAGGGGUGGGCAAGCCUGGUGUCAGUCGCCGCGGUAAUACCAGCACCCCGAGUGGUCGGGACGAUUAUUGGGCCUAAAGCAUCCGUAGCCGGUUCUACAAGUCUUCCGUUAAAUCCACCUGCUUAACAGAUGGGCUGCGGAGGAUACUAUAGAGCUAAGAGGCGGGAGAAGCAAGCGGUACUUAGUGGGUAGGGGUAAAAUCCG